rnacentral:rRNA from 1 species
CGUAGGGGGCAAGCGUUGUCCGGAUUUAUUGGGCGUAAAGAGCGUGUAGGCGGCCUUACAGGUCAGCUGUGAAAACUCGAGGCUCAACCUCGAGACGUCGGUUGAAACCGUAAGGCUAGAGUCCGGAAGAGGAGAGUGGAAUUCCCGGUGUAGCGGUGAAAUGCGCAGAUAUCGGGAAGAACACCCGUGGCGAGGGCGGCUCUCUGGGACGGUACUGACGCUGAGACGCGAAAACGUGGGGAGCGAACAGGA